CGCCUGAUUUGGAAGCUGAGAAUGUUGACAAGGACAAGGACAACGACAAGGGGGAGGAGGAGAAUGAGGAUUCUGCCGUGGCCGAGGUGGAGGAGCCUCAGCGUGUGGAGGUGGUGCCAGAGGAGCCACAGCGCAUUCCGUCUCCACCUCCAUUGCCACAGGAGCCACCGACCCAUCCGUCUCCACCUCCAUUGCCACAGGAGCCACCGCGCCACCAGUCUCCACCUCCAUUGCCGCAGGAGCCACCACGCCGGCUGUCCCCACCCCCGUUGCCAAAGGAGCCACCGCGCCGGCUGUCCCCACCUCCGUUGCCAAAGGAGCCACGGUGCCGUCCAACUCCACCUCCAUUGCCAAAGGAACCACAGCGGCUUCCGUU
rnacentral:lncRNA from 1 species